GUCCACGCCCUAAACUAUGUCAACUGGUUGUUGGGAAUUCACUUUCUCAGUAACGAAGCUAACGCGUGAAGUUGACCGCCUGGGGAGUACGGCCGCAAGGUUAAACUCAAAGGAAUUGACGGGGACCCGCACAAGCGGUGGAUGAUGUGGUUUAAUUCGAUGCAACGCGAAAACCUUACCCACCUUUGACAUGUACGGAAUUCGCCAGAGAUGGCUUUAGUGCUCGAAAGAGAGCCGUAACACAGGUGCUGCAUGGCUGUCGU
rnacentral:rRNA from 1 species